UGUAUAUAUUUUUCUAUUAGUUCUUUUUCUGGAAGUGGACAUUUCAUAGUUGCUCUUUAAACAAUAUUUCUGUUGCUUUAUGUCAUGUUCUCUUGGUUCUGCUCAUUUCACUCUAUAAUUUCAUUUAGGUUUUUCCAUGUUUGUUUGUUUGUUUCAAAUUAACCUGCUUGUUAUUUCUUACUUUGCAGUAGUAUUCCAACACAAUCAGAUUUCAAAACUUGUCACUUUGUCUUUCAUUUUUGAAGGAGAUUAAUGACACCACAAAUUAAUGAUUUCUUGGCUUUCACAUAAAUCGAAUUUAAGAGAGGCAGAAUUGCACAAAUUUGUCAGCUUCACUCUCUAUUCCAGUCUUCUGUAUCCAGUGGCAAGACAAAAGUCAGAAUGACUGCUGAUGUCCUGGAAUGCAGAGGAUGAUUCUUGGCAUCUUUGAUAUCUUACCAAGCUCUAAGUGCUCCACAGUGCUUACUUCAUCUGUCUUCAUGGCUGUUGGAACAAAUGGUUCUCAUCUGCCUAUUCCUCCAGGAGAAGUCUUCACAUGAUUAAGGUAUGGCACUAAGAUGACAGAGUAGAAUCAGAAAAAGCUUGAACCAUGAUGAGAAUCCUCUCCAAACAACCUAAAAUAACACCUCAAAAUGAAUACUGGUGUGAAAGAACCAUCAAGGAGACAGAAUGAAGCAACUUUCAUGUAAAGAACAAGUUGAAAGAACUUGUUUUGCAUCUAUCCAGUACAUGACUGUGGGCAGCUAUUGUUCAUCCUUUUUGAAGAAACCAGCAAUAUCACAGAUCCACGUUGUUUACACUAGAGAAAAAUUUGUGGAGGAAAGUGAAAAAUGGUAUACUUCAACCUGCAUUUAG
rnacentral:lncRNA from 1 species